GAGUGGGGGUGGUCCAAGGCCCCAAGGCGCUGACCCCUUCCUCCAUCACCUCCCUGCUCCCCUUCUCCCCAGUCUCCCCCUCCUUCUGGAUCCAGAGCAUCAGCUUAGCAGUACUGUGGCCCCCAGGGCAUGACCGCAGGCAGGGCGGGGCCUUCCCCCCAAGCAGAGGAAGUACAGGGAGAGGGGCCCAGGGCCGGCAGAGGCACCAAGAACCCCCACGGUUGGAGCAGCUGAGGACCUGCCUCCUGAUGACGUCUGCGUGCUCCCAGGCCUGCCUUCGCCCUCUUCUCAUUUCCUGUGCAUCACAGAGGUGUCCAAGUUGGCAGGUGGCAGUGCCUUCCUUCUCUAAACACAGCUAGAUAUCUGAGCCCGUUCAUUUCCUGAGGAGCUGGGAAGGUUACAGUGCAUACAGUAUCAGAGACUAGGCCAUCCACCUCGGCCCGGGACAGUUUCUCCAUACACAGCAGAAUCAGGUAAACAGUUUAGCACUCUUAAUAUGUGUGUGCUCAUUUGUGUCCAACUCUUUGCAGCCCCAUGGACUGUAGCCCACCAGGCUCCUCUGCCCUUGGAAUUUUCCAGGCGAGAGUCCUGGAGUGCGUUGCCAUUUCCUACUCCAGGGGAUCUUCCCAACCCAGGGAUCAGGCGGAUUCUUUAUCACUAGUGCCCUUGAGGAGCCUGAUGAACAUGCG
rnacentral:lncRNA from 1 species